GACAAAACGCCAACAACUUAAAGUAAGAGAGGUCUGUUUCAGCUCAUGGAUUAGUCUACAACCAGCUGGCUCCAAGGCAGAAACAGCAUGGUGGAAAGGCAUGGCAGAGGAAAACUUUUGACUGCAUGGUGCCCAGAAGGAAGCUGGGAUCCCAUGGUGGAGGGCCUGCAUCUAGCAAGGGUCUUCUUGCUACAUCCUCCCACCAUGGAAGUUGGAAGGGAAAGAAGAUAUGUGUGAGACAGAGAGAAGGUCAGCCAGUUCUGAAGGAUGAACAGCAUGGCAGAUGAGCAUGGUGGAGGAGAGCUGCUUGUGUCAUGGCAGAGUGGAAGCACAACACAUCAAGGGAGAAGCCAGGAAGAAAAAUAUAUCUUCAGGGUCAUUUCCUAUCAGACCUCAAAUCCUAACACCAAGAAAGCUAUAGGAUCCCAUAAUCCAACCACCUCCCAAAUGCCCCAUCUAUGAGCUUACUGGGGUUA